ensembl:lncRNA
GAAUCUUUGAAUAUCUUAAAUCUGCUCAUUCUUGUUUACACUUGCUUUUCAUGAUCUUUACUUUUCUCCUUUCCUCUCUUCACAUCUCCUUCCUCUCUGUCUGUGUUGUGAACUCAGGCCUUAGAGAGGCAGAAAGAUUUCUUUGAUUCCAUAAGGAGUGAGCGGGAUGACCUUAGAGAUGAAGUGAUUAUGCUGAAGGAGCAACUGAAGGUAUGCAAGAGGAGUAAGAGAAGCUUACUGCUUACUGACUGCUAACCUUUCCUUCCUACGCAUUUUUGUAGCUGAGUAGCAAGAACUCUUGUCGUGUUGCCUAUAAGUUGCCAUUUCAGGCAUUUUCUGAUAAAGUCCUUCCCCCUAAUAUUGAUUGUGAGCUCUUAGUAUAGACUGUAAUGUUCAGCAUUAAACUGUUGCUUUUGUAGGAGACUCAUCUCUGAGGAGCACUUGACAAAGCAGAAUUAUGUUUAAAGAUUGAAGCCUUGCUGGUAUCACAUGCUUUCUGUGUUGCUGGCUAAACAGAGAACUGUAAUAUUCUGUGCUAUUUUCUGACUUCCAGCAAUUUUUAAUGGAGCAAUUGAAGCAAUUAUUUGUUCAGAAUGUCAAGGACAAGAACAUCUGAACGAUCCUACUCUUACUGAGCAGCAGGCUUAUAGCAUUGCUUUUGCUUCUCCAUAGAAACAUGGAAUAAUCCCAGAUUCUGACAUAGCCACCAACGGGGAGGCAUCAGAUGUUCUUGAUAAUGAAGGACACUUGGAUUCUUCCAAAACUGUUCAAGGCACAACGCAGGCAUUAAAGACGACAGGGGACGGGAUGCUAGGCAAAGCCAAUGAAGUGGACAUGAAAAAUGAGAUUUUGGAGGAUGUGGGGAAAAGAGAAAUCUUGCAGAAUUCUGAGCGUGAGGAACACAAAGAGGAGUCUGAGGAACAGGAAGUACAGACAUUGCAUGCUGAUGAAAAUACAAAGGCAGAAAAAAUGAUUGAAGAAACUGACGCUCUGUCAACAGUGAUGUUACCAGAUAGUAGGUUUACAGAACAAAUUCAAAGCCUUACAGAACCCGUGUCAGGGAAUGCUUCUUCAAAUGAUGAUAGUGCUGCAGAUGAUUUGAGAAAGGAGACACGGUCAGCAGACACAGCAGCCCAGCAGCCUGUUAGUGAGGAGGUUGAACACAGUAAGUUAAACCCAAGGACAGCUGAGAACUCAGAAAUGGGCUCACUGCAAGGUCAGGAUUUUGAGAGUCCUCAGGAAAUGCACGGUGACUUAGGUGCAGAGCAUGAACUGGAAAAAGCUGCUCCACAACAGGAAGAAGGAGAGGAUGUGGAAGCUAGCCAUGCACUGAGUGCUAAUGAGGUGGAGCAAGCAGCAGACAGUGCAGGUGACAGCAGUGAGAUAAUUUCUGGCCAGUCAGGGCUACCAGAGCCUGUGCUAGGAGGCUCACAUAGUGAAGAGGUAAAGGUGGAGGGCCAUGCUGAAACACUCCAGUGCUCGGAAGAAAGUGCUGAAAACAAAGUUACAGAGGUCUUGGAGAAAGCUCUUGUUGAAAGCAAAGACUGCACUGAUGGAACAGCUGAUGAAACUGGAGGUAAUAGAGCUAGAGAACAAAAUGAGGUUGGGAGUGCAGUUCAGGAUCAGAAAAUGAAAAGAGAUUCUACAGGCUUAGAAGGGGAGGAGUCAUGUGAAAGUGGUGACCCAUCAGAUACAAAUGAAGAGGGAGGAGAUCAGGCACACAUCCAGCCAGUUUCCUCAGAGGAUGGUGAGUUAGCAUUAUUAGAGGAACAGAAUACACAGGAGCAAACAGAACUUAAACCUGCUGAGAAAGAUGGACAGGAGGAAGUAUUGAUUGGAAACUUGGAGGUGUGUUCAGAUUCUGCAGAAAAGCAGGAGAAAGCAUCUGGGGAGUCUGUGGUUUCUGCUAACAAGGUAGAAGGAAAUGCACUGCAUAAGACAGAGCCAGACACAGAUGCUGUGAAAGAAAUGGCAUCUCAGGAAACCAGUUUAGACCCAGGUUUUUCAGAUGAUGAAAUUGAGGAAACAGAAAUGCAAACAGGAGACGUGUCUGGGAAAGGAGAGGAAAGUAGAACAGAAUACUUAGAACAUAAUAGAACAGAAGACAUAAAACCAGAGGUAGAGCUUCAAACUGUUCAGUGUGCUAAAGAAACAACAGGUGAUACAGAGGAUGAGAAAAAUAUUUCUUUAGAAAGUGAAGCACAGAAUGUAGUCAAGCAAGAGGAAGGUGAAUCUAAAGAGGAAUCCAUUGUAUGUCAUAGUGUAACUAGUGAGAACCAAGUUGGUAAAGAAGCAUUUAAAGAAAAUAAAAAGCAGUCAGAGCUUGCAG